GACAGAGGGUGCAAACGUUGUUCGGAAUUACUGGGCGUAAAGCGCGUGUAGGCUGCUCGGAAAGUCGGAUGUGAAAGCCCUGGGCUCAACCUAGGAAGUGCAUUCGAAACUUCCGAGCUGGAGUGCUGGAGAGGAAGGCGGAAUUCUCGGUGUAGAGGUGAAAUUCGUAGAUAUCGAGAGGAACACCGGUGGCGAAGGCGGCCUUCUGGACAGUGACUGACGCUGAGGUGCGAAAGCGUGGGGAGCAAACAGG
rnacentral:rRNA from 1 species